CGGGCUGUCGGAUAAUGGUAGUCCGUACCCUUGGGGUGGGUAUAGCCCGAGUUCGAUUCUCGGCAGCCCGA
rnacentral:tRNA from 1 species